rnacentral:rRNA from 1 species
CCUACGGGGGGCAGCAGUAGGGAAUCUUUCACAAUGGGCGAAAGCCUGAUGGAGCAACGCCGCGUGCAGGAUGAAGGCCUUCGGGUUGUAAACUGCUUUUAUAAGCGAGAAAUAUGAUGGUAACUUAUGAAUAAGGAUCGGCUAACUACGUGCCAGCAGCCGCGGUCAUACGUAGGAUCCGAGCAUUAUCCGGAGUGACUGGGUGUAAAGAGUUGCGUAGGUGGCAUAAUAAGUAGCUAGUGAAAUCUGGUGGCUCAACCAUUCAGACUAUUAGCUAAACUGUUAAGCUCGAGACCGUGAGGGGUAACUGGAAUUUCUAGUGUAGGAGUGAAAUCCGUAGAUAUUAGAAGGAACACCAAUAGCGUAGGCAGGUUGCUGGGACGGUUCUGACACUAAGGCACGAAAGCGUAGGGAGCAAACGGGAUUAGAUACCCCUGUAGUC